rnacentral:rRNA from 3 species
CGGUCCUAAGGUAGCGAAAUUCCUUGUCGGGUAAGUUCCGACCUGCACGAAUGGCAUAACGAUGGCCACACUGUCUCCUCCCGAGACUCAGUGAAGUUGAAAUGUUUGUGAUGAUGCAAUCUACCCGCGGCUAGACGGAAAGACCCCAUGAACCUUUACUGCAGCUUUGCAUUGAACUGUGAACCGAUUUGUGUAGGAUAGGUGGGAGGCAGAGAAGAGGCCACGCCAGUGGUCUUGGAGCCGACCUUGAAAUACCACCCUGAUUUGUUUGCGGUUCUAACCACGGACAGUGAUCCUGUCUUGGGACCGUGCAUGGUAGGCAGUUUGACUGGGGCGGUCUCCUCCUAAAGGGUAACGGAGGAGUACGAAGGUACGCUAGGUACGGUCGGAAAUCGUGCUGAUAGUGCAAUGGCAAAAGCGUGCUUGACUGCGAGAGCAACAACUCGAGCAGAUGCGAAAGCAGGUCAUAGUGAUCCGGUGGCUCUGAAUGGAAGGGCCAUCGCUCAACGGAUAAAAGGUACUCUGGGGAUAACAGGCUGAUACCGCCCAAGAGUUCAUAUCGACGGCGGUGUUUGGCACCUCGAUGUCGGCUCAUCUCAUCCUGGGGCUGUAGUCGGUCCCAAGGGUAUGGCUGUUCGCCAUUUAAAGAGGUACGUGAGCUGGGUUUAAAACGUCGUGAGACAGUUUGGUCCCUAUCUGCCGUGGGCGUUGGAAGAUUGACGGGGGCUGCUCCUAGUACGAGAGGACCGGAGUGGACGCACCUCUGGUGUACCGGUUGUCACGCCAGUGGCAUUGCCGGGUAGCUAAGUGCGGAAGAGAUAACCGCUGAAAGCAUCUAAGCGGGAAACUUGCCUGAAGAUGAGUCUUCCCGGAGGUAAAACCUCCCUCAAGAGUCGUCCGAGACCAGGACGUCGAUAGGUCAGGUGUGUAAGCGCUGUGAGGCGUUGAGCUAACUGAUACUAAUUGCUCGUGAGGCUUGAUCCU